rnacentral:rRNA from 1 species
AUUGCCCUAGUAACGGCGAGUGAAGCGGCAACAGCUCAAAUUUGAAAUCUGGCUCUUUUAGAGUCCGAGUUGUAAUUUGCAGAGGGCGCUUUGGCUUUGGCAGCGGUCCAAGUUCCUUGGAACAGGACGUCACAGAGGGUGAGAAUCCCGUACGUGGUCGCUAGCUAUUGCCGUGUAAAGCCCCUUCGACGAGUCGAGUUGUUUGGGAAUGCAGCUCUAAAUGGGAGGUAAAUUUCUUCUAAAGCUAAAUAUUGGCCAGAGACCGAUAGCGCACAAGUAGAGUGAUCGAAAGAUGAAAAGCACUUUGGAAAGAGAGUCAAACAGCACGUGAAAUUGUUGAAAGGGAAGCGCUUGCAGCCAGACUUGCUUGCAGUUGCUCAUCCGGGCUUUUGCCCGGUGCACUCUUCUGCAGGCAGGCCAGCAUCAGUUUGGGCGGUGGGAUAAAGGUCUCUGUCACGUACCUCCUUUCGGGGAGGCCUUAUAGGGGAGGCGACAUACCACCAGCCUGGACUGAGGUCCGCGCAUUCGCUAGGAUGCUGGCGUAAUGGCUGUAAGCGGCCCGUCUUGAAACACGGACCAAGGAGUCUAACAUCUAUGCGAGUGUUUGGGUGUCAAGCCCGAACGCGUAAUGAAAGUGAACGGAGGUGGGAACCCGCAAGGGUGCACCAUCGACCGAUCCUGAUGUCUUCGGAAGGAUUUGAGUAAGAGCAUGGCUGUUGGGACCCGAAAGAUGGUGAACUAUGCUUGAAUAGGGUGAAGCCAGAGGAAACUCUGGUGGAGGCUCGCAGCGGUUCUGACGUGCAAAUCGAUCGUCAAAUUUGGGCAUAGGGGCGAAAGACUAAUCGAAUAUCUAGUA